GCCCGGAUAGCUCAGUCGGUAGAGCAUCAGACUUUUAAUCUGAGGGUCCAGGGUUCAAGUCCCUGUUCGGCGAGGUACUGCA